GAUGAACGCUGGCGGCGUGCCUAAUACAUGCAAGUCGAGCGAACAGAUAAGGAGCUUGCUCCUUUGACGUUAGCGGCGGACGGGUGAGUAACACGUGGGUAACCUACCUAUAAGACUGGGAUAACUUCGGGAAACCGGAGCUAAUACCGGAUAACAUUUGGAACCGCAUGGUUCUAAAGUGAAAGAUGGUUUUGCUAUCACUUAUAGAUGGACCCGCGCCGUAUUAGCUAGUUGGUAAGGUAACGGCUUACCAAGGCAACGAUACGUAGCCGACCUGAGAGGGUGAUCGGCCACACUGGAACUGAGACACGGUCCAGACUCCUACGGGAGGCAGCAGUAGGGAAUCUUCCGCAAUGGGCGAAAGCCUGACGGAGCAACGCCGCGUGAGUGAUGAAGGGUUUCGGCUCGUAAAACUCUGUUAUUAGGGAAGGACAAACGUGUAAGUAACUGUGCACGUCUUGACGGUACCUAAUCAGAAAGCCACGGCUAACUACGUGCCAGCAGCCGCGGUAAUACGUAGGUGGCAAGCGUUAUCCGGAAUUAUUGGGCGUAAAGCGCGCGUAGGCGGUUUCUUAAGUCUGAUGUGAAAGCCCACGGCUCAACCGUGGAGGGUCAUUGGAAACUGGGAAACUUGAGUGCAGAAGAGGAAAGUGGAAUUCCAUGUGUAGCGGUGAAAUGCGCAGAGAUAUGGAGGAACACCAGUGGCGAAGGCGACUUUCUGGUCUGUAACUGACGCUGAUGUGCGAAAGCGUGGGGAUCAGACAGGAUUAGAUACCCUGGUAGUCCACGCCGUAAACGAUGAGUGCUAAGUGUUAGGGGGUUUCCGCCCCUUAGUGCUGCAGCUAACGCAUUAAGCACUCCGCCUGGGGAGUACGACCGCAAGGUUGAAACUCAAAGGAAUUGACGGGGACCCGCACAAGCGGUGGAGCAUGUGGUUUAAUUCGAAGCAACGCGAAGAACCUUACCAAAUCUUGACAUCCUUUGAAAACUCUAGAGAUAGAGCCUUCCCCUUCGGGGGACAAAGUGACAGGUGGUGCAUGGUUGUCGUCAGCUCGUGUCGUGAGAUGUUGGGUUAAGUCCCGCAACGAGCGCAACCCUUAAGCUUAGUUGCCAUCAUUAAGUUGGGCACUCUAGGUUGACUGCCGGUGACAAACCGGAGGAAGGUGGGGAUGACGUCAAAUCAUCAUGCCCCUUAUGAUUUGGGCUACACACGUGCUACAAUGGACAAUACAAAGGGCAGCUAAACCGCGAGGUCAUGCAAAUCCCAUAAAGUUGUUCUCAGUUCGGAUUGUAGUCUGCAACUCGACUACAUGAAGCUGGAAUCGCUAGUAAUCGUAGAUCAGCAUGCUACGGUGAAUACGUUCCCGGGUCU
rnacentral:rRNA from 1 species